UGAGGAAUAUUGGUCAAUGGGCGGGAGCCUGAACCAGCCAAGCCGCGUGAGGGAGGAAGGCCCUAUGGGUCGUAAACCUCUUUUGUCAGGGAACAAAAGCGAGUAUGUAUACUAGUCUGAGUGUACCUGAAGAAAAAGCAUCGGCUAACUCCGUGCCAGCAGCCGCGGUAAUACGGAGGAUGCGAGCGUUAUCCGGAUUUAUUGGGUUUAAAGGGUGCGUAGGCGGCGGUGCAAGUCAGCGGUAAAAGCCCGGGGCUCAACCCCGGCGAGCCGUUGAAACUGCAGUGCUAGAGAAGGCGAGAGGUACGCGGAAUGCGCAGUGUAGCGGUGAAAUGCAUAGAUAUCACGCAGAACUCCGAUUGCGAAGGCAGCGUACUGGCGCCUGACUGACGCUGAGGCACGAAAGCGUGGGGAUCGAACAGGAUUAGAUACC
rnacentral:rRNA from 1 species